UACGUAGGGGGCAAGCGUUGUCCGGAUUUAUUGGGCGUAAAGGGUGCGUAGGCGGGCAGGUAAGUCAGUGGUGAAAUCUCCGGGCUUAACCCGGAAACUGCCGUUGAUACUAUCUGUCUUGAAUAUCGUGGAGGUAAGCGGAAUAUGUCAUGUAGCGGUGAAAUGCUUAGAUAUGACAUAGAACACCGAUUGCGAAGGCAGCUUACUACACGAUCAUUGACGCUGAGGCACGAAAGCGUGGGGAGCAAACAGG
rnacentral:rRNA from 1 species